rnacentral:rRNA from 1 species
UAGGGAAUCUUCGGCAAUGGACGAAAGUCUGACCGAGCAACGCCGCGUGAGUGAAGAAGGUUUUCGGAUCGUAAAACUCUGUUGUUAGAGAAGAACAAGGACGUUAGUAACUGAACGUCCCCUGACGGUAUCUAACCAGAAAGCCACGGCUAACUACGUGCCAGCAGCCGCGGUAAUACGUAGGUGGCAAGCGUUGUCCGGAUUUAUUGGGCGUAAAGCGAGCGCAGGCGGUUUCUUAAGUCUGAUGUGAAAGCCCCCGGCUCAACCGGGGAGGGUCAUUGGAAACGGGGAGACUUGAGUGCAGAAGAGGAGAGUGGAAUUCCAUGUGUAGCGGUGAAAUGCGUAGAUAUAUGGGGGAACACCAGUGGCGAAGGCGGCUCUCUGGUCUGUAACUGACGCUGAGGCGCGAAAGCGUGGGGAGCAAACAGG